AGGAGGGGCUCGCGUCCUAUUAGUUAGUUGGCGGGGUAACGGCCCACCAAGGCGAUGACGGGUAGCCGGUCUGAGAGGAUGUCCGGCCACACUGGAACUGAGACACGGUCCAGACACCUACGGGUGGCAGCAGUCGAGAAUCAUUCACAAUGGGGGCAACCCUGAUGGUGCGACGCCGCGUGGGGGAAGAAGGUCUUCGGAUUGUAAACCCCUGUCAUGUGGGAGCAAGGCGCAAGCUUGAUAGUACCACAAGAGGAAGGGACGGCAAACUCUGUGCCAGCAGCCGCGGUAAUACAGAGGUCCCAAGCGUUGUUCGGAAUCACUGGGCGUAAAGGGUACGUAGGCGGCGGAAUAAGUCGUGCGUGAAAGGCAGGGGCUCAACCUCUGGAGUGCGCAUGAUACUGUUCUGCUGGAGUGAUGGAGGGGGAACCGGAAUUCUUGGUGUAGCAGUGAAAUGCAUAGAUAUCACACAGAACACCGAUUGCGAAGGCAUCUCACGAAUCCGCUAUUGACGCUGAUGCACGAAAGCGUGGGGAUCAAACAGGAUUAGAUACCCUGGUAGUCCACGCUGUAAACGAUGAUGACUAACCGUCGGCGAUACACAGUCGGUGGCCAAGCGAAAGCGAUAAGUCAUCCACCUGGGGAGUACGUUCGCAAGAAUGAAACUCAAAGGAAUUGACGGGGGCCCGCACAAGCGGAGGAACAUGUGGUUUAAUUCGAUGAUACGCGAGGAACCUUUCCCGGGCUCGAACGGCAGAUGAAUAUGGGAGAGAUUUCAUAGUCUUCGGACAUCUGUCGAGGUGCUGCAUGGUUGUCGUCAGCUCGUGCUGUGAAGUGUCGGCUUAAGUGCCAUAACGAGCGCAACCCUUGCCGUCAGUUGCCAUCAGGUAAUGCUGGGGACUCUGGCGGGACUGCCACCGCAAGGUGUGAGGAAGGGGGGGAUGACGUCAAAUCAGCACGGCCCUUACGUCCGGGGCGACACACGUGUUACAAUGGUGGGUACAGAGGGAAGCUACCUGGCGACAGGAUGCAGAUCUCGAAAACCCAUCCCAGUUCGGAUUGGAGUCUGCAACCCGACUCCAUGAAGUUGGAUUCGCUAGUAAUCGCGCAUCAGCCAUGGCGCGGUGAAUACGUUCCCGGGCCUUGCACUCACCGCCCGUCAAG
rnacentral:rRNA from 1 species